rnacentral:rRNA from 1 species
AGCUCCAAUAGCAUAUAUUAAAGUUGUUGCAGUUAAAAAGCUCGUAGUUGGAUUUGUUUUGAGAAUAAUUGAAUUUAUAUUAUAUGAUUUAUUAUUUUCAGAAAUUAUUUUUAGAUUUCUUCUUUUUUUUAUUUAUUUAAAGAAAAGUAAGAGCUAAUUCAUUUACUUUGAGUAAAAUAGAGUGCUUCAAGCAAAAUGUAAAUUUAUUGAAUAGUUUAGCAUGGGAUAAUAGAAAAAGACUUUAGUUUGAUAUUUUUUCUAUAUUUGGUUUGUUUUUGACUAAAGUAAUGAUUAAUAGGGAUGGUUGGGGGCACUUGUAUUUCAAAGUCAGAGGUGAAAUUCUUGGAUUUUUGAAAGACAAUCAUAUGCGAAAGCAUUUGCCAAGGACGUUUUCAUUAAU